AGUUUAGAAAAAUGCCUCUGGCUGCUGCUUGUAGUUUUGGAAAGAAGAGAGACCAGGGAGGAGGCUGGAACAAGAUGCCAGGAGACGCCCAUGCCUCCUGACUUCUCACCGGAUUCUGCCAAAGAGAGCCAUCAAGGGGAGAAUAAAAGGCAUGAUGAGGAAGAAGCAUGGAUAGUUACGCCACGUUUCCCCUCAUGUGACAGAGCCUGCAUUUCUCCGUGGCCUCACUUCCACAGUUUCAGCUACUUCUGGGAGCAGUAACACUGUUCCUUCUCUCACUCCUGUAGGUCUGGGGGUGAGAUCAGUGCCCCACGUUCUAGACCCUGGGUGCCUCAGUGCUCCCUGAAGUGUCCCUUAGCCUGCCCACACCUCUGUAAACACGCCAUUCAUUAAAUCUGCCUGUUGAGCCAGUGGUUCUCGACCUGGAGGUCUUGCUUCCCAGGAGACAUUUGGCAAGAUCUGAAGACCUCUUCAGUUGUCAUGACUGGUUGUGAGGGUGCUGCUGGACCAAGUGGGUGCAGGCCAGGGAUCCUGCUAAACAUCCCCCGAUGAACAAGGCAGCUCCUCUCCCCAACAGAGAAUUAUUCUGCCCCAAAUGUUAAUGGUGGGACUUCCCUGGUGGUUCAGUGGUGAAGAGUCCGCCUGCCAAUGGGUUCCAUCACUGGUCUGGGAAGAUGGGUUCCAUCACUGGUCUGGGAAGACCCCACCCGUCAUGAGGUAACUAAGCGCGUGCUCCCCAACUACUGAAGCCCAUGCAUCCUAGAGACCACGUGCUCCGUAACAAGAGAAGCCACCGCAAUGAGGAGCCUGAGCACUGCAGUGAACAGUAGCCCCCACCCGCCCCUAGAGAAAACUUGUGCGCAGCAGUGAAGGCCCAGUGCAGUCACAAAUAAAUAAGUAUAAAUAAA